rnacentral:rRNA from 1 species
GAUGAACGCUGGCGGCGUGCUUAACACAUGCAAGUCGAACGAAGCACCUCUCCCGAAGAUUGACACAGCUUGCUGUAGAUUGAUUCAUUUGAGGUGACUGAGUGGCGGACGGGUGAGUAACGCGUGGGUAACCUGCCUCAUAGAGGGGGACAACAGUUGGAAACGACUGCUAAUACCGCAUAGUAAGAAGAAUUCGCAUGUUUUCUUCUUGAAAGAUUUAUCGCUAUGAGAUGGACCCGCGUCUGAUUAGCUAGUUGGUAAGGUAACGGCUUACCAAGGCGACGAUCAGUAGCCGGCUUGAGAGAGUGAACGGCCACAUUGGGACUGAGACCCGGCCCAAACUCCUACGGGAGGCAGCAGUGGGGAAUAUUGCACAAUGGGGGAAACCCUGAUGCAGCGACGCCGCGUGAGUGAAGAAGUAUUUCGGUAUGUAAAGCUCUAUCAGCAGGGAAGAUAAUGACGGUACCUGACUAAGAAGCCCCGGCUAACUACGUG